ensembl:snRNA U6 U6 spliceosomal RNA
GUUCUCGUGUCAGCUGCACAGAUUCUAAAACUGGAACAGUAUGAAGAAGAUUAGCCCCUAAGCAAGGAGGACAUGCAAAUUCAUGAAGUGUUUCAUAUUUUA